rnacentral:lncRNA from 1 species
GAAAAAUAAUUAUUGUACAGUGUCCGAAGAGUGUCGGUAUCAACACGUGUCCGACAUGAACACGCUACCCUAGUUAGAGUAUCCAUGCUACAUAGGUUGGAGACAACCCUGACGGAAUGCUGGUGGAUUCUCAAACUGGGAAGGUAGUAUCCCCGAUGUUCCAUUUCUGAAACUAAUUGAACUGUGGAAAGAUCUGAUAUAUAAUUCCGGAUUAAGUGGCUAAUGGACUAGGAAAUUUCUCACUUAUCGACUCUUUUUUGACGGUAGACUGUCACGCAUCUACGUGGACACUUGGAUUUCUCUUUUGCUUCUGCAUGGCAUCCAAAUAGUCACAUCUUUGCCACUGGAAACCAGGACAAGACUUGCCAUAUAUGGGAUGCUCGAAACCUGUCAAAGCCAGUUGAUGUACUUAAAAGAAAUCUAGGUGCUAUUUCGAUCAAUCCGUUUCACAUCUGAUGGGCAAUUCAUGGUGAUGGCUGAGCCAGCUGAUUUUGUUCAUGUUUAUGAUGUGAAGAAAGGUUUUGAGAAAGAAUAAGAGAUUGAUUUUUUUGGCGAGAUCUCUGAGCUUUCUUUCAGCCCUGAUGCAGAUUCUCUCUUCAUUGGAGUGUGGGAUCGCACUUAUGGUAGCCUUUUUCAGUACAGCCGAUGCAGGAACUACUCAUAUCUAGACACUCUAACGUGAAUACCAUUUGAUUUACACACAUUGUUGGAGCAAAACUUUCUUGUAGAAUGACACAGGUAACAUAUCUCGUAUUACAUUCUCAAGAAAGGAGCCUGAGAGUGGCACACUUGCAAAACUUUGUUGUCAGAUCGACUGUCGUGCCCUCAAAUAAUGCCCACUGGUGUUCCAUAUAAGUGAAUAUGUGAAGCUUGGAUUGCAUCUUGUUGCAGCCACAAAUGAAAUUUUCAUCUCAGCACAAGGCAGAUUUCGUUCGUGGAAAUGUCACCAUGUUGAUGAAAAUUGAUGUUUAUAUGGAAUUUUCUACUGUAUCAAUAACUUUUCUGGAGUUGAGUGGGAAUUGAACGUCUGCCAUUAAUUCAAAUAAAAGUGUUUUUGGUUUGGAAGAAACUAUACAUUUGGUGGUUUUAGCAAGUUGAAGAAAUUAUAUAAGAGAUGAUUGAAAGUUGUUUAUCUGUAAAUUGCUGAAAUAUAAUAGGUUGGUCUUUAUUUUUAUUGAUUGAUCGGUUGUUAUUACGGUUUUCCUCUGCCUUAAGUGA